rnacentral:rRNA from 1 species
UGGGGAGUCUUGCGCAAUGGGCGAAAGCCUGACGCAGCGACGCCGCGUGAGUGAUGAAGGCCUUCGGGUUGUAAAGCUCUGUGGGGAGAGACGAAUAAGGGACGGCUAAUACCCGGCUCGAUGACGGUAUCUCCUUAGCAAGCACCGGCUAACUCUGUGCCAGCAGCCGCGGUAAGACAGAGGGUGCAAACGUUGUUCGGAAUCACUGGGCGUAAAGCGCGUGUAGGCGGCUGCGCAAGUCGGGCGUGAAAUCCCGUGGCUCAACCACGGAAGUGCACCCGAAACUGCGUAGCUGGAGUCUCGGAGAGGAAGGUGGAAUGCUUGGUGUAGAGGUGAAAUUCGUAGAUAUCAAGCGGAACACCGGUGGCGAAGGCGACCUUCUGGACGAUGACUGACGCUGAGACGCGAAAGCGUGGGGAGCAAAC